rnacentral:rRNA from 1 species
CACUCCUGCGGGAGGCAGCAGUGGGGAAUAUUGCACAAUGGGCGCAAGCCUGAUGCAGCCAUGCCGCGUGUAUGAAGAAGGCCUUCGGGUUGUAAAGUACUUUCAGCGGGGAGGAAGGCAAUACGGUUAAUAACCGUGUUGAUUGACGUUACCCGCAGAAGAAGCACCGGCUAACUCCGUGCCAGCAGCCGCGGUAAUACGGAGGGUGCAAGCGUUAAUCGGAAUUACUGGGCGUAAAGCGCACGCAGGCGGUCUGUCAAGUCGGAUGUGAAAUCCCCGGGCUCAACCUGGGAACUGCAUUCGAAACGGGCAGGCUUGAGUCUUGUAGAGGGGGGUAGAAUUCCAGGUGUAGCGGUGAAAUGCGUAGAGAUCUGGAGGAAUACCGGUGGCGAAGGCGGCCCCCUGGACAAAGACUGACGCUCAGGUGCGAAAGCGUGGGGAGCAAACAGGAUUAGAAACCCCAGUAGUCCC